rnacentral:tRNA from 1 species
CGGUUAAGACACCGCCCUUUCACGGCGGUAACUCGAGUUCGAUUCUCGAUGGAGUCA